CUGAGCCGUAUGAGGUAGGAAACUCUCAAGUACGGUUCUAAGGGAAGGAACUAUCUAUUCUGAC
rfam:Hordeum vulgare subsp. vulgare, WGS project CAJW01000000 data, contig: morex_contig_676931